UCCGCGGUAGCUCAGUGGUAGAGCGUCCGACUGUUAAUCGGAUGGUCGUAGGUUCGAGCCCUACCCGCGGAGCCA
rnacentral:tRNA from 2 species